GUGUUCGUUGAAAGGAGAGACGGUUGGCAUCUCCCCUGACAGGGACGGGAACGGCCUACGGGCUUUCCUGUUACACGCACGGUUAAGGCUCUCCGCUCUUGGGCGGAUCUUACCCAAUUUUUUU